rnacentral:rRNA from 1 species
AAUCAACGCUGGCGGCGUGCCUAACACAUGCAAGUCGAACGCGAAAGUCCCGCAAGGGGCAAGUAGAGUGGCAAACGGGUGAGUAACGCGUGGGCGACCUACCUUCGAGUGGGGGAUAACCUUCCGAAAGGAGGGCUAAUACCGCAUGACAUCCCGUGUUUGGAUACACGGACAUCAAAGCCGGGGAUCGCAAGACCUGGCGCUUGGAGAGGGGCCCGCGUCCGAUUAGCUAGUUGGUGGGGAACGGCUCACCAAGGCUCCGAUCGGUAUCCGGCCUGAGAGGGCGGACGGACACACUGGGACUGAGACACGGCCCAGACUCCUACGGGAGGCAGCAGUGGGGAAUUGUUCGCAAUGGGCGCAAGCCUGACGACGCAACGCCGCGUGGAGGAUGAAGACCU